rnacentral:ribozyme from 1 species
UUCAUCUUCUUCUUCUUCUUCUUGUUUUCUUUCAGUGAAGUCUAAUUUGCGUACCUUUUCCAAUAAAAAAAACAGAUAGAAGGAUAGAAAGAAAGUAGCAGCAGCAACAACAACAACAAGAAUAUAAACUCAAAAG